GCCCGGGUCCUGUAAUCCUUAUGGGUGACCAACCUUGUGCCUCCGGGAGAUCCACACUCCCACCUGGAAACACGCGGGAAACCAAGCCGCCAAAAAAGCGCUGUCUUUUAGCUCCAAGGUGGGAUUAUCCAGAAGGAACUCCUAACGGAGGUAGUACCCCUCUCCCUUCCGCACCUACUCCUGCAUCACCGGGCCUGAAGUCGCACCCACCUCCUCCGGAGAAGUAGUACAACACACUUCUCCCACCCCAAACCAGGAAGCACAGAGGAUGAACCAAGUCAUUCUGCCUGGUAGUAAUCAUGAUCCAUCAAAGAGGAAGGGGUAACUUUGGGUGGGCCUUAAAAAGUGAGUGAUGUCUGCCAUGUGGAGGGGGAGGGAAUGCUUUUCUUCGGGCCUAGCAUUUCCAGAACAAAAGCUCCAAGGCAGGUUUGUUCUAGGAAAAGCUUGGCUAUAAUUCUGAAUCUAUGAGAAUAAUUAGGAGGUGAAAUAGAGUAUUGCAGAGCCUUGAAUGAUAUGCUAACGAGUAUGCAGUUUAAUCCCUAAGUAGUGACAACCAUUGAAGAGUUUCAAGAAAGUGAUAUAUUUUAGGAAUCCCGUUCACUGUUAGAAAAAAUCUUCGAUUUAGAUGAACUUAUAGGAUGCAAAAAAUAAAAUCUGAUCCAAACCUCACAAAUUCUUGUAAUCCGAAAGGGCAUCCUUUCCUCAUUCAUGCGGUAAACCCUUAAGGAGCCCUUUCAAUGGACUAGGCAUUGUGCUAGGAGCUCUACGGAAUGGAUAACCAAAGCAUAUAGGAGUGAAACAGUGGCAGCUAAGGGGGUUCCAGACUUGGGGUUUGAUAGUGGUGCAUAGAAAAAGAAUGAGCUCUGUUGUGCUUGAAAGUAUUACCCAGUCACAUUCCUUACAGCCUGAUUUCCCUCAACUUCACCUCUGUCCAAAGGGUGGUGGUGUGGGAGUAGUGGGAAACCAUAGGGAUAGCACCGCUCAAACAGAAAAUGAAGUUGUUUAGGUCAAGAAGUGCAAGAGCUACAUAAUUGCCUCCAGUGAUUCAAAUCAUUGAAAAUUAUACUAAUAGCGAAUAUUUACUGAACAUCUUUAUGUGCCAGGCACUGGUCUACAAUGCCUCCCAGAGUUUGUUCUCUUAAUUGCUAAGCAAUAGUUCCCUCCUAAUACUGUCUAUAUAACUUUUUUUGGGGGGGGGAGUAUGUUAGAGCAUAGGGAUUUGAGGAGGCCAGGGGAAAGAGAUAAACAGUAAAGAAGAAAUGAUUUCACUUUAUUUUACUAUUUUUCAGUCUUUGAGGGAUUGCAGUAUGACUCUAUUUCCUUGGUAUAUGUGCUGCCGAAGCAAGCACCUGACUCUGUUUCCUUAGUGCAUUCAUAAAAUAGUUCACUCAGUGAAGACAAUGAAGAUUAUUGACAAUGCUACCCUGCUUUUUCUGAUGUUCUACACCAGGAAGUUGUGAUUUUUAAGGUAAUCUCUUUACCAAAAACUUAUUAAAAGAGGGAGAAGAAUAAGAGUUGAUUAUGACACAUUAAAAAUAACUACCCCAGAGUUCCUUUGUGGUGCAGUGGGUUGAGGAUCUGGCGUUGUCACUGCAGCAGCUCAGGUGGCUGCUGUGUUGCAGGUUCGAUCCCUGGCCCUGGAAUUUCCACAUGCCACAGGCAUGGCCAAGAUAAAUUUUUAAAAUGAAGAAAUAAUUACUCAAAAACAAAAAGCUAGCACCAAAUGAUAAAAUUUAAAUCAUUUCUACAUUAUAUGAAACCAUAUGUAUAUACCAUAUAAUAAUGUUAUAUAUAAGCUGUUCUGUUAGAUUCACUCCUAAUUACCUUAUGGUUUUUGCUGUUACUGUGAAAUACACUUUUUAAACCACAUUUUCAGAUUAUUGCUGGUAAAUGGGAACAUGAUUGAUUUUUUUUAUUUACAUGAUUGAUAUUUUUAUAUACUGAUGUUAUAUACCGUAACCUUUCUGAAUUCUAUUUGUUCCAAUAAUUUGUAGAUUCUUUGGAUUGUAUGUUAAUUAGUCAUAUUGUGAAUAACGACAGUUUCUUCCUUUCCAAUAUUGGCUUUUUAAAUUUGCCUUACUGUGCUAGCUAGAGUCUUCGGUACAAAAAGAAAUAGUGGCAGUGGUAGAGGAUUUCCUUGUCUUGCUUCUGAAUAUACAAGGGGAUUCUAUACGUGUUUACCAUUUUUAGUAGGUUUUCUUUUUCAGGUUAAAAAAUUUCCUUUGUAUUCUUAGUUUGCUGAGAGCUUUUAUUAUGAAUGAAUGUGGAGUUUUAUCUCCAAAUACUUUGUAUCUACUCCCCGAUCAUAUGGGUUUUUUUUCCUCCAUUAAUACGACAAUGUGACUGUGUGAUGAAUUACAAUAAUCGAUUUUCUAAUAUAUUUCCUUCUUUUGGUUUCAUCAGUCCUCACCAUUUAAUAUUUUGUCUAUUUUAAUAAUUUUUCCUUUUAUUUUUUCUUUACUAUUUGUUUGCUGUAUUUCUAAUCGAUUUAUUUUAAAUCUUUCCUAAAAUAAGAAUUUAUAACUAUAAAUGUUCUACUAUGUACCACUUUAGAAGAAUUUCACAGGAUUUUAUGUGUACUAUUUUAUUAUUAUUUCCUAAUUUCUUUUAUGAUUUCUUUUUGAUUCAUGAAUUAUUUGGUUCUUUAAAAAAUUUACAGACAUAGAGGUCUCUUUUUUAGAAAUCAUAUUGUGACAUCAUUAAUCCAGUUAUAGUUAAACUUUAUCUUUUUUUCUGCUUUAAAAUAUUUAAUGUGUUUUAUUCAUCUGGUAACAUAAAGCAAAUUUAUAUACUGGCUUCUCAUCCCAAAAGAUUUUAGCAAUAUAAAACUUUUUCUUCCAUUAAAUGGAAAACUGUGAUUAUUCUAUUCAGUGAUGGAGUUAUUGCUCAUAUUUAUACAUGUGUUAUUAAACUUUUUGUUUUAAUCUAAUUUUAUGCUUAAAGAAAAAUUGUGAGAAUAUUACAAAGAAAUCCCAUAUACCCUUUACCUAGACUCACCAAUUACUAUUUUUCCAUGUUUGCUUUAUCAUUCUCUAUUUCAGUUUGUGUUUCUCCCUCUCGUCCCAUUUUUUCCUCCCCUCCUCCCCCAAUCACUUCCCCUCUCUUCUACUUUCUCCUCUUCCUUUCUCAACUAUUUGAGAGUAACUUGCAGACAUCAUGCUCCUUUAUCUGUCAAUACUUCAGUGUAUGUUUUCCUCCAAAUGAUGCCAAUCUCUUACUAACUUCAGUACAUGUGUCAAAAUAGAAAUUUCACAUUGUUUCAAUUUUUUGUUUCAUAAACCUUUAUUAUCAAGAUUAUAUACUUAUACUCACUGAAAAAGGAAUGUGUUUGGGAGAACAUGUAUUUCAAAUGGAUAAUGUAAGGUCUAUUUUUGUUCCUUUUUUCCAGCUUCAUUGAAACAUUUAACAUAUAGUGUUGUAAGUUUAAAGUGUACAGUGUGAUGAUAUGCUACAUGUAUAUAUUGCAAAAUGAUUACCCACAAUAAGAUUAGUUAACACAUCAGUCAUCUCACAGUUAUGAUUUUUUUUGUGUGCGGUGAGAACUUUUAAGACCUCUCUCCUAGCAACUUUUAAGUAUACAAUACACAAUUGUUAACUACAGUCACUGUACUAUAGUAUUAACUAUACUAUAACUAUAGUUAUAUAACUAUAUAUACUAUAACAGUAGCAUUAAUUAUAGUAUACAUCAUGCUGUACAUUAAACUUCCAGAAUGUAUUUAUGUUAAAACCAAAAGUUUAUUUUAUUUUAUUUUUUUAAUUAUUUCCCCAAUACAAUUACAACUGAAAGUUUAUACCCUUUUAUCACCUUCACCUUUCCCCCACCCUCCCAACCCCUGGAAACCACCAAUCUACUGUUUGUGUGAGUUCAGACUUUUUUUUUUAUGUUCCAUAUAUAAGUGAAAACAUACAAUAUUUUUCUCUCUCUGCUAACUUAUUUCACUUAGCCUAAUGCUCUCAAGUUUUAUCUAUUAUGUCAGAGAUGGCAGGAUUUCCUUCUUUAUAUAGCUGAAUAAUAUUCCACUAUAUAUAUAUAUAUAUAUACACACCACAUUUUCUUUGUCCAUUCAUCUCUCAGUGGACAUUUAGAUUUUUUCCACAUCUUUGUUAUUGUAAAUAAUGAUGCAGUAAACAUAAAGGUUGAAAAUAUCUCUUUGAGAUAGUAAUUUCAUUUCCUUCAGAUAUAUCGAGGAGUAGAAUCGCUGGAUCGUAUGAUAGCCCUAUUUUAAUUCUUUUUUUUUUUUUAGGAACCUUCAUACUGUUUUCCAUAGUAGAUAUUUCAAUUUACAUUCCUAUCAAGGAAUGUGCAAGGGUUCCCUUUUCCCUGUAUCCUCACCAGCAUUUAUUACCUUCUGUUUUUGUUAAAGCCAUUCUAUCAAGUGUGAGAUAUCUCAUUGUGGUUUUGACUUGCUUUUCUCUGAUGAUUAGUGAUGUUGAGCACCUUUCCAUGUACCUAUUGGCCAUCUGUAUGUCUUUGAAAAAAUGUCUGUUCAAAUAUUUCUCACCUUUUUGAGUUGGAUUGUUUUUCCACCGUUGAGUUGUAUGAGUUCCAUAUAUAUUUUGGGUAUUAAUUUCUGAUCAGUUAUGUGGUUUAAAAUACUUCCUAUUCCAUACUUUAUUUCAUAAAUAUGCUAUUUCUGUCAUUUAUUUUAAUGAUCAAAUUGUCCCAGUGGCAAUCCAUUCAAGCUGGAUUCUCUAUGCAUUUGACACAUUCCCAUCAUUCUUUGAUACAUACUUUGACUUCAGCAUUUCCUUACUUUCUUGUCUUAUAUUUCCUGCUUCAUUAACCAUUUCAGGCUUGUCUUAUAUUUCCUGCUUCAUUAACCAUUUCCCUAUGAAUUUAUGGUACUUUUUAGAGGGACAUGGUAUUUAAAAACCAAGACAAAAAAUACAUUGAUUUUUUUUUAAUUUUUUAAAAAUUUUUAUGCAAUUUUAAAGAUUACUUUCCAUUUACAGCUAUUACAAAAUAUUAGCUAUAUUCCCCAUACUGUACAAUACAUUCUUGAGCCUUUCUUUACCCUCUAGUGUACACCUCCCAAUUCACCACCACUAUAGUACCCCUCCCCUCUCCUCCCGCUGGUAACCACUAGUUUGUUCUAUCUAUGCAUCUGCCCCUUUCUGCUCUUUUAUUGUUAGUGUAUAGAAAUCUAGCAGAUUUCUGUGUAUUAAUUUUGUACCCUAUGACUUUACCAAAUUAAUUGAUGAGCUGUACUAGUUUUCUGGUGGCAUCUUUAGGAUUUUCUAUAUAUAGUGUCAUGUCAUCUGCAAACAGUGACAGUUUUAUUUUUUCCUUAGGGUAUAUGGAUAUUUUCUAGCUUGACAUUAUGUUAUUCUUUCCCAUUUAAUUACAUUUUGUACAAACAAUGUAGUUUACAUGAUACUGACUAUAUAGUAUUUAUUGAGACAUGCUUUAUGUUCUAGAGAACAUUAUCAAUUUAUUUGUGCCUGAAAAUGUUUUGUAUAUUCUAAUUGUUACAUGUGCACUCUGUAAAUGUCCAUCAAACUUGCUGACUGUCUUGUCAGCAAGAGUGACAUUAAAAUUAUCUUUUAUAUCACUCUUAAUUCUGUUUGUUUGCUAGAUCUUUCAAUUAUUGAGAAAGAUUUAAAAUCUCCCAGUGAUGGAGUUCCUGCUGUGGUGCAGUGGGAUUGGCGGCCUCUCUGGAGCAGCACUGGGAUGCAGGUUUGGUCCCUGGCCUGGCCCAGUGGGUUAAGGAUCUGGUCUUGCCACAAUUGUGGUGUAGGUGGCAACUGCAGCUCAGAUCUGAUCCCUGGCAUAGGAACUCCAUAUGCUGUGGGGUGGCCAAAAAAAAAAAA
rnacentral:lncRNA from 1 species